AGUAACGGCGAGUGAAGCGGCAACAGCUCAAAUUUGAAAUCUGGCCUCUAGGGGUCCGAGUUGUAAUUUGUAGAGGAUGUUUCGGGUACCGCUCCGGUUUAAAUUUCUUGGAACAGAAUGUCAAAGAGGGUGAGAAUCCCGUCUUGGACCGGUGGUAGGGCCUAUGUGAAACUCCUUCGACGAGUCGAGUUGUUUGGGAAUGCAGCUCAAAAUGGGUGGUAAAUUUCAUCUAAAGCUAAAUAUUGGCCAGAGACCGAUAGCGCACAAGUAGAGUGAUCGAAAGAUGAAAAGCACUUUGAAAAGAGAGUUAAACAGUAUGUGAAAUUGUUGAAAGGGAAGCGCUGGCAACCAGACUUGCGCGCGGCGGUUCCCCCUUCCUUUUGGUUGGGUUACUCCGCCGUGUCCAGGCCAAUAUCGGUUUUGGGGGUCGGUCAAAGGCGUUGGGAAUGUACCUACCCUCCGGGCGUAGACUUAUAGCCCAGCGUGUCAUGCGACCUCCCGGGACCGAGGAACGCGCUUCGGCUCGGAUAUUGGCGUAAUGGUUGUCAGCGACCCGUCUUGAAA
rnacentral:rRNA from 1 species